ACAAUGGUGAGCAAGUGCACCCAAGGAGGAAAAAAUGAUGAGAAAGUGCAUCAGAAAGAAGAUGAGUAUCAUGGUGAGAAAGUGCACCAGAAAAUCAAUCAAGAAUUGCUGGAGAGAAGUGCUCCAAACAACCAAACAAAUCAAAAAUUUGAAGAUACUUGAAGACUUGACUGCAUUCGUAGCUCCAACAAAAAUCUCAUCAAGGAGGGGUGUUG
rnacentral:misc_RNA from 1 species